rnacentral:rRNA from 1 species
UUCUCCUGGAAACGGGUGGUAAUGCCGGAUGCUCCAGUUGACCGCAUGGUCCUCUGGGAAAGCUUUUGCGGUAUGGGAUGGGGUCGCGUCCUAUCAGCUUGAUGGCGGGGUAACGGCCCACCAUGGCUUCGACGGGUAGCCGGCCUGAGAGGGCGACCGGCCACAUUGGGACUGAGAUACGGCCCAGACUCCUACGGGAGGCAGCAGUGGGGAAUAUUGCACAAUGGGCGCAAGCCUGAUGCAGCGACGCCGCGUGCGGGAUGACGGCCUUCGGGUUGUAAACCGCUUUUGACUGGGAGCAAGCCCUUCGGGGUGAGUGUACCUUUCGAAUAAGCACCGGCUAACUACGUGCCAGCAGCCGCGGUAAUACGUAGGGUGCAAGCGUUAUCCGGAAUUAUUGGGCGUAAAGGGCUCGUAGGCGGUUCGUCGCGUCCGGUGUGAAAGUCCAUCGCUUAACGGUGGAUCCGCGCCGGGUACGGGCGGGCUUGAGUGCGGUAGGGGAGACUGGAAUUCCCGGUGUAACGGUGGAAUGUGUAGAUAUC